UGUACACUACAAUACAAUACACAUGUACUGUGCGCGUCACAAGAAAUGAAUACAUGUUAACAAUGGGGCCUCCUACAGCUGAUGUUGAGAAUAUGGAAUGGGGUAUUAUUGUAUAAUAGUAUGAAUUAGCUGCUCUUAAUAUGAAAUGCCAUCUUUAUUUAAUACAUACUCACAUAGUGAGGUGUUCUGUAUACUCUGGGAGGGGAUAUAAAGAAGGAGCCCUGUCUUUGGAUUUUGCCAAUAAUAGAAAUGUACAAAUAGAGAGACACUCCUUUGAAAUAUAUAGCUCUCUAAUACGCUACUGAGGCCCCAUUCUUGUAUAAAGCAGCCACUGCAGUGACUUCAAAUGGACUGAACUCAAUAUAUCACUUGUAUCUUUCACAGUAAGGUACAGAUGCUACUAUGGUAAGUAAAUGGAUUCUACUUUAUUUUAUGCAGCAAUCAGUGGGUUUUAUUUAUUAUUUUCAAUCAGGGCAUGAAUUGUUUAUCAGUGUAGCUUUGCUGAGAGGCUUCAGUGACACAGUGACUAGAGUGCAGAGCUGCAGUGUGGAAGGUAGUGGGUUUGAGCAGUAUAGUGGUUAGUGCUGGGCUGUAGUAUAGGAGUUAAUGGGUUUGAUAGCUCAGUGUUUAGAGAAAGUGGUGCCUUGCAGAGUGGAAGGCAAUGUGCAUGCUUGUGGAUCUGAGUAUUACUUUUUUAUUCAUUAGUCUUUUAGCAGUUGCUUUUCUCCAAAGUGCCUUCGAGACUAGGGGGUGUACUAUGCAUCAACAACUGCUGCUGCAGUCACUUACAAUAGGACUCCAGUUUUACGUUUUGACUUGCUCAGGGUCACACACAGUGAGUGAGUGGCUGAGCCGGGAUGUGAACCUCCUGGUAUCAAGCCCUUUUCUUUAACCACUGGGCCACUGUCCCUGAGUAGCUCAGGGGGUUGAGUUCUGGGCUACAGUGUGGAAGGCAGUGGGUUUAAGAAGCUCUGUGUUAAAAAUAGACUGUUCCUAAUUAUCUUUUCUUUUUUUGUGUAGCUCAUCACUAUCACUACUAUUUCUACUACCAUCAUGGGUACCGCUGCGCUCGCUACUGGCUUACCUACCGCUGCAGGCGAUGCCAGCACUACUGAGCUGCAGCAGCGCCCAGUGAUCACAGUGCUGGAGUUUACCUGACAGCAGACCUGCAAGCAAAGCUUAAACACACCAGCAACCUUCUUUUAUAGCAUCGCUGUAACCUUUUUGUUCUGGUACCUCUCCCCACACACAGCUACAGACCCAUUCUUAUUUCUAUCAGGCCAUUCACAGCUUGUUUAAAACAGCUGCUCCCUGUUGUGCAUUUGGUCAAUCUCUUCAAGGAUAUAUAAUAGAGACAACAUUGUUUUUCUAUUGGGUGAUUCCCUGCCUCUCAUGAAGCAGGUCUUUACAUUGUAUGGAAAGGUGUCCUUAUUUAACAUGUAGUCUCAGAUUCUCAGUGAGAUCACAUGCUCACACAUGUUUGAAUAGAAAUACAACUCCACAUGGGCACAUAUACAAAGAGUUACUUGGAGAGCGUGCUUGAUUGAUUUGCCUCAGCUCAUAAUCACUGCACCGAGUCAGGUUUGACCAGUAGACUCCUUUCUUCUCCCAGCUCCUCACAGCCACCCUGUGAUGUCACAAGUGACCCGUGACAGGCCUUGUUCACAGACUGACAAAAACAUUGUGUUUAUAUAGAGAUUUUCUUCAUCUCUCAAUUAUUUUAAAAUCUCUUUAUUUGCAUUCAUGACAACAAAUGCUCAAACUGUUGACCAGUAUAAAUGAUGUCCUGCCAAAACAACACUAUCUGCUGUUACAUGAAACUGGGUAAAAGCCUGUCUCUUUCUGUAAAGCUUUUUAAGCAAUAAAACUAUUAGCAUCAAUGUCUCGUUUUGGACUGGUUUAUUUCACAUGACAUGUAUUCUUGUCAAACUGCCACCACUGAAAUCAUUCAAAAAGCACUCAUUUAUUGACAACAAAGAACUCUUUUCAGUGCAAGGGAGGAUUCAUGUAUUUCCUCUUUCUUCUGCAUUGCAUAUUUAGUAAAGGAGAAAGUGCCUGAUUGUUUCUAUAAUGUCAUCGGUUUAGCCGUUCAGAAGCACGCUGCUCUUUCCCAGGUAAUUGUUACUUGCAUAUUGUGGGUAAACCAAGAGGCAUGAUGGGAUGCUGGAGGCGUUAUGGCAAACCCUGCUUUUACUUUACUGUGUGCUCCCUACAUUAAACUGGUUAUUGAACCUGGACCAUCUCUCAUCUUUCACUUCUACUAAUGAAUUACUCUCCAACUUUGGGGAAACAAAUCACAAAUGUGUGUAUUGUAUUAUCAUGAUGUGCUAGAAUUGACCUUGCUCUAAAGACUCACUGUGCUGUCUGUAAUAACUUGUAUUAUAACAAGGUCAAGUUUAUCGAUUAAUGUCAGUGAACAUUUGGACAGCAUUUAAAUACUCCCCCUUCUCGAACAUAAGAAAGUUUACAAACAAGAGGAGGCCAUUCAGCCCAUCUUGCUCGUUUGGUUGUUAGUAGCUUAUUGAUCCCAGAAUCUCAUCAAGCAGCUUCUUGAAGGAUCCCAGGGUGUCAGCUUCAACAAAAUUACUAGGGAGUUGGUUCCAGACCCUCACAAUUCACUAUGUAAAAAAGUGCCUCCUAUUUUCUGUUCUGAAUGCCCCUUUAUCUAAUAUCCACGUGUGACCCCUGGUCCUUGUUUCUUUUUUGAUGUUGAAAAAGUCCCUUGGGCCAACAUUGUCAAUACCUUCUAGGAUUUUGAAUGCUUGAAUCAGAUCACCGCGUAGUCUUCUUUGUUCAAGACUGAAUAGAUUCAAUUCUUUAAGCCUGUCUGCAUAUGACAUAUUCUUUCUAUAGCAGUGUGGCAAUGUGCUCCGCCCCUGUGUGAAUUUCUGUGUUGUAUGUUGCGUGUGUUAAUGUUGGUGUAUAGAGAUUGGUACACAGGAUAUAAACGGGUCUGUGUUUCACGUGGUAUUUAAAUUGUAUAAUUGUAUUUAGGCACGGGAUUGCACAUCACUGUACGUGCAUUUAAAGUAAGUAAUAUGCGCGCACGAGGUUGCACAUAAUUAAUUCACAUUCUGGGAUUCAAGUGAAUAAUUAAUUAUUAAUUGAAUCCCAGCACAACAGUAUAAAUAGAUGCACGUUUCAUUCAUUCGUGGUUGUGUGUUCAGGGCGAAAGAACAGAGAGAGAGAGUGAGGAGAACGAGAACGAGAACGUGAAAGUGAGCAAUUGCUACGUGGUGCUGCAGGACCAGCACAGUACGUGUUUGUUUAGUGUUCGUUUUUGUUUGUCUCUUUGUUUUGGCUACCAGUGCCGUGUUUUGUGUUACAACCUUUUUAUUUUCUGUCUGUUACUUAUUAAAUGCUGAGCGCGAUCACGCGCUCAGCUUCACCAAAA